GGCCACCACCAGCUCCUCGGUGGGGCCGCCGCCGCCUUCCGCCUUCCGCCGGGAGGACACUGAGGGGGCCUUCUCCAUCCGCAUCAAGGACGCAGAUCCAGGCAUUGGCGUCGGCGUUAUCUUCGGAAAAAAGAAUUCUUGUUAUCUUAGGAUAACGACGGAGAUCCCUGCCAAACUAAAAAUGUUGGAGAUGAUGAUGAUGAUGAUGUCGAGUCUAUUGAAUUCCCAAAUUGUGUGGUGGCUAGCGGUUAGUAGCUAAUGAGGAAGUUCAAGUAUUGAGCCAUUGAGGUGUGAAGUGGUUGCCAACUUGCUAUGGAGAAGUGUGAACUAACCAUGUCUUUUAUGUGUGUUUGCAUGGAAAUAUUGGAAGAUGGAACUUGAUAACUUGAACCAUGUGUAAUUCUACUAUUAACUUAUAUGUACUAGCGUGCACUUGGACAAUGCACCUAAAUUUUAAUCAUUCGCAUGUGUUGUUAUGCUGUUCUUGUAUGCCAGACUACUAGUACGAGUCUCUAUUUUAUUGUUUUUUAUA